GAAAGGGGUUCUUUCUUCUUUUUAUACUGUACAUCAACUUUUCAUUUCUCUCACUGCUUUUGUUUAUUACUCUCUCUCUUUCUUUCUGCUCUGUUGAUUCUAUUAUGGGAUUUGCAUCUGUUCUUUGUUCUGUCUGUUUAGGUCACUUCUGGGUCGUUGAUCUUUCGGACUAACCAUCGCCUGUGAAAGGCCUCUUUUCUUUUUCUCCCCUUUACUUGAUUCCAUAUUAGAAAUUGCAUCUAAUUCUCUCUUGUCACAACUUCUCAUCCCUCUCUCUCUCUCAUCAAAAUCUGCGAAAGACUCAGCAUAGUAACUUACACAAGAACCCUAUUCGGGCGGCAAACUAUUCUUGGUUUUCUUGCGCUAUUCCUUGCUUUGACUUUGUGAUCAGGAACCUUUCCAGAAAGAGACAAAACAACAAUCCAAAAUUCAACCAUUGCAAGAACCUCAAUUAAGCCUCUCCUCCUCUCUUCUCCAUCUGUUUUCUCCCAAAUUUUUAACCCUGGCUAAUCCUUGGUGGACUGGUCAAGUUGGCCUGCCAGGCCUCGACCCUUCAUCCAAUUCGCCUUCCCUCAGCAAAGCUAACCGAGAACUCUCCAUCAAUGAAACCAGUAACAGGAGUGGCGAUGAAGAAGAUAGAGACACGGCUGAUGAGCCUAAAGAGGGAGCUGUUGAAAUUGGUACUCGACGACCCCGAGGCCGCCCUCCUGGUUCCAAAAACAAACCCAAACCACCCAUUUUUGUCACCCGUGACAGCCCUAAUGCCCUCCGCAGCCAUGUUUUGGAAGUUGUUGGCGGAGCCGAUGUAGCUGAGAGCGUCGCACAAUUUGCCCGGAGGCGUCAACGCGGGGUUUGUGUGCUUAGCGGCAGUGGCUCAGUGGCCAACGUAACCCUAAGGCAACCUGCAGCACCCGGUGCCGUAGUGGCACUUCAUGGUAGGUUUGAGAUUUUGUCCUUAACUGGGGCGUUUUUGCCAGGACCUUCCCCACCUGGCUCCACCGGGCUGACGGUGUACCUGGCUGGAGGACAAGGGCAAGUCGUGGGAGGAAGUGUGGUGGGUUCACUGAUAGCGGCAGGGCCUGUGAUGGUCAUUGCAGCAACAUUUGCUAAUGCUACUUACGAAAGAUUGCCACUAGAGGAUGAUGAGGAAGCUGCUGGUAGUGGUGGGCAAGGACAGAUCCAGGGUGGGUCCAGUAACUCGCCACCACCUAUUGGAAGCAGCGGAGGACAAGCUGGGCUGCCGGAUCCCUCCGCCAUGCCGUUGUAUAAUCUGCCGCCGAAUCUAAUUCCUAAUGGAGGUCAGUUAGGGCACGAUGCUUACGCUUGGGCUCAUGCGCGGCCACCUUACUAAUAAAUGGAGGAAAGAGAGAGAAGAGGAAGAUUUUCAUGAGCCUUUUAUUUGUGUUUCUACUCAAAUUAAGGUAGGGAUUAAAAAUGUUUGGAAAGAAAAUGGUACUAUGUAGAAGAAUCAAGAUAUAGUUGUGAAGAAGAGAAAUCAUGGUAGUGAAUGUAUAUUAAAACUUGGUUUUACCUUUUCUCCUUUCUGUUCGCAAUAAAAAAAAGGG
rnacentral:misc_RNA from 1 species